GGUCUGUCUCUAAAUACAGUCACACUGGGUGUUGAGCCUUCAACAUAUGAAUUUUUGGGAGAACACCAACAUCCAAUUCAUAACACCAUUAAAAAGGAGGAGAAAAUAUUUUUAUUGGGUCAUUUUCCCUGGGGCUGAAUCUAUCAGAUCUACACAGGAGAGCAUUGAGAGAGCUAAUUGGAAAGAUUGCUAAGCUUGCUGCAAGAAGCCAGAGAGGGGCAUUUUAUUUCUCACUUGGAUGCUUGCUGAGCCACAGAACACGCAGGUCUCCCCUGGAGCUGUCAUGGAAGUAUGGUGAUGAAAUUACUAGGAGAACUUGGCUUGUACCCUCUGGGACUUGGAGCAGAGUACCCUGACUGCCUCUGGACUUGAGUGCAUGAAGCAAGCAUCCGUGUCUGGGAGACCCAGUGAAAAUGAACUUUAGGGCAACUACUGGCUGUCAGCAGGCAAGAAACGGAGGCCCCCAGUCCAGCAGGACAGAGAUCGCUGACUCCUGCUAACAAGCAUGUGAAGCUGGGAGCAGAUCCCUCUCCAGUUGAGCUUUCAGAUGAGAUGCUGGAAACCUUGAUUGAAGCUUCACGAGAGACCCUGAAGCAGAGGGUCUGGUGAGCUAUACCCAGGUUCUGCGAGAUGGUACAUGUGUGUUGUUGUUAGCCACUAAAUGUGUGCUAAUUUGUUAUAGACAAUAGGUAACGAAUAUGCAGUUUUGUGGUUUUGCUUACAUCACUCCCCUCUUCACAGGACUGCAGUAUAAGUCCCUGGAGAUUGUUCUCGGAAAUAAAUAUAACUGACAAUCACCACUCUGUGCUCAGAAUUGUCCUUCUCCUUCCACCAAAGGUCUGUUACCUGAUCAGCUUUGUUGUGCUUGAUUGCUCUGGGAAAAGUUCUCUCUCAGGUGACCUUAGCUCCUCACACAAAGGGAGCUUUGUGGAGCCUGCCUAUGUCGUUCCCCAAAUAAGCCUGAACACUCUUAAAUCCAGCAGUGGUGCAGCUUGGCCUAAGCUAAGAGCUCACAAUAUGUCAGAUAAUUUGUCAAUUUCCAGAUGCAUUAUACCAAGGGUCCCCAACUCCCCCAGGGCCACAGAUCAGUACUUCAGAGCAAUGAGCAGUGGGUGAGCAAGAGAAGUUUCAUCUGUAUCUACAGCUACUCUAGUUGCAGGAAAACAAGCUCAGGACUCCCACUGAUUCUCCAUUAUGAUGAGUUGUAUAAUUAUUUCAUUAUAUAUCACAAAGUAAUAGUAAAAGAAAUAAAGUGCAAAAUAAAUGUAAUGCACUUGGGAUCAUCCUGAAACCAUCCCACCCCACCAACCCCAGUCAGUGGAAAAAUUGCCUUCCAUAAAACCAGUCCCUGGUGCCAAAAGUUUAGGGACCGCUGCAUUGAUACUACUGUAGCUAUAGUUAUUAGAUUGACAUUAAACUUUAUUCUUCAUUUAAAAAAUGUUUCAUGCCCUGUGAAAUACUUGACUAUGAGUAGAAAUAUAAUUCAAAAAAAGACACAUGUACUCCAGUGGUCAUUUCAGUACUGUUUACAAUAGCCAGGACAUGGAAACAACCUAAAUGACCAUCAACAGAGGAGUGGAUAAAGAGGAGGUGGUGCAUAGUAAAUAUGAUGGAAUAUUACUUAACCAUAAAAAAGAAUGAAAUAAUGCCACUUGAAGCAACAUAGAUGGACCUGGAAAUGAUCAUACUAAGAGAGGUAAGUCAGACAGAGAGAGACAAAUAUCAUAUGACAUCACUUAUAUGUGGAACCUGAAAAGAUGAGACAAAUGAAAUUAUUUACAAACCAGAAACAGACUCACAGACUUUGAAAGGAAACUAAUGGUUACCAAAGCAAAAUGGUUGGGGAGAGGGAUAAAUUCAGAGUUUGAGAUUAAGAUAUAUACAUAACUAAAUAUAGAAUAAAUAAUCAAAAAGGACCUAGUGUAUAGCACAGUGAACUCUCCUCAAUAUUCUGUAAUAACCUAUAUGAGAAAAGAAUCUGAAAAAGAAUGAAAAUAUGUAUAUGUAUAACUGAAUAAC